AUGUGUCACUGCCCCUGUGAAGUUCUUGAUGAUUCCAAAUUUGAGGCCACCAUCACUCGCAUAGGAGAGAAGAAACGUGGGAUUUCACAUGAAAUUGUUACCAAGAGGGUAGAGGAGAAAAGGAAGCUUGGGGCAGACCAGCCCAUUGUGGGGACCAGGGUCUGUGUCACAGACCAGGGUCUGUAUCACCAUGUCGCCUGGAUUCCUGUCCUCUUCAUGCUCCUGUCUCUCUGCAAAGGAUCUUUGUCCCAGCCUGUGCUGACCCAGCUGCCCUCACUCUCUGCAUCUCCGGGAACAACAGUCAGACUCACCUGCACCCUGAGCAGGGACAUCAGUGUUGGUAGUAAAAACAUGUACUGGUACCAGCAGAAGCCAGGGAGCCCUCCCCAGUAUCUCUUGUACUACUACUCAAGUACAGAGCUGGGACCUGGGAUUCCCAGUCGCUUCUCUGGCUCCAAGGAUACCUCGGCCAAUGCAGGGCUUCUGCUCAUCUCUGGGCUGCAGCCUGAAGACGAGGCUGACUAUUACUGUGCAGUCUGGCACAGUGGUGCUGGUCACAGUGACACACACAGAUGGGGAAGUGGGACAAAUACCUCAGCCUGCUCAGACUCUUGUGCUAUGACUUUCUUCCAAUUUAAAAUAACUAGAGUUCACACUGACUAUACUUGGAAGUAA